rnacentral:rRNA from 4 species
AAUUGAAGAGUUUGAUCAUGGCUCAGAUUGAACGCUGGCGGCAGGCCUAACACAUGCAAGUCGAGCGGUAGCACAGAGAGCUUGCUCUCGGGUGACGAGCGGCGGACGGGUGAGUAAUGUCUGGGAAACUGCCUGAUGGAGGGGGAUAACUACUGGAAACGGUAGCUAAUACCGCAUAAUGUCGCAAGACCAAAGUGGGGGACCUUCGGGCCUCAUGCCAUCAGAUGUGCCCAGAUGGGAUUAGCUUGUAGGUGGGGUAACGGCUCACCUAGGCGACGAUCCCUAGCUGGUCUGAGAGGAUGACCAGCCACACUGGAACUGAGACACGGUCCAGACUCCUACGGGAGGCAGCAGUGGGGAAUAUUGCACAAUGGGCGCAAGCCUGAUGCAGCCAUGCCGCGUGUGUGAAGAAGGCCUUCGGGUUGUAAAGCACUUUCAGCGGGGAGGAAGGCGGUGAGGUUAAUAACCUCAUCGAUUGACGUUACCCGCAGAAGAAGCACCGGCUAACUCCGUGCCAGCAGCCGCGGUAAUACGGAGGGUGCAAGCGUUAAUCGGAAUUACUGGGCGUAAAGCGCACGCAGGCGGUCUGUCAAGUCGGAUGUGAAAUCCCCGGGCUCAACCUGGGAACUGCAUUCGAAACUGGCAGGCUAGAGUCUUGUAGAGGGGGGUAGAAUUCCAGGUGUAGCGGUGAAAUGCGUAGAGAUCUGGAGGAAUACCGGUGGCGAAGGCGGCCCCCUGGACAAAGACUGACGCUCAGGUGCGAAAGCGUGGGGAGCAAACAGGAUUAGAUACCCUGGUAGUCCACGCCGUAAACGAUGUCGAUUUGGAGGUUGUGCCCUUGAGGCGUGGCUUCCGGAGCUAACGCGUUAAAUCGACCGCCUGGGGAGUACGGCCGCAAGGUUAAAACUCAAAUGAAUUGACGGGGGCCCGCACAAGCGGUGGAGCAUGUGGUUUAAUUCGAUGCAACGCGAAGAACCUUACCUGGUCUUGACAUCCACAGAACUUAGCAGAGAUGCUUUGGUGCCUUCGGGAACUGUGAGACAGGUGCUGCAUGGCUGUCGUCAGCUCGUGUUGUGAAAUGUUGGGUUAAGUCCCGCAACGAGCGCAACCCUUAUCCUUUGUUGCCAGCGGUCCGGCCGGGAACUCAAAGGAGACUGCCAGUGAUAAACUGGAGGAAGGUGGGGAUGACGUCAAGUCAUCAUGGCCCUUACGACCAGGGCUACACACGUGCUACAAUGGCAUAUACAAAGAGAAGCGACCUCGCGAGAGCAAGCGGACCUCAUAAAGUAUGUCGUAGUCCGGAUUGGAGUCUGCAACUCGACUCCAUGAAGUCGGAAUCGCUAGUAAUCGUAGAUCAGAAUGCUACGGUGAAUACGUUCCCGGGCCUUGUACACACCGCCCGUCACACCAUGGGAGUGGGUUGCAAAAGAAGUAGGUAGCUUAACCUUCGGGAGGGCGCUUACCACUUUGUGAUUCAUGACUGGGGUGAAGUCGUAACAAGGUAACCGUAGGGGAACCUGCGGUUGGAUCACCUCCUUA